GGACCCUGGCGAGUCGGUCGCCUGGGCUGGGGGCUGCGGCCUGGUCGAGGCCGCGGGAGGGAACGGAAGAGCCCGGCGGGGGCCACGGAAACCCGCGCAGGGAGGAUCCGGGGCCGCGCGGCGAGGGAGCCCGGCCCGAGCGGGAGGUGCGCGCCCCGCUGCGCUCGGGAACCUCCGCGGCCUCCCCGUCGCCGCCGGACGAAGCCCCGGCGUCUUCGCGGCCUCAUCUCCCUCCCCCGGCACCCGCCGUACUCUCCGCGCCCGACGCCUUGUGCCUGGACUUGCUGCUCAUUUUGACGCCUCCGAGCUUUCGCUCUUGACGUCUUUCUCCCGCGUGACUGUACUCCCGCAUUUCCCCGGCGACCCUGACCUCACUUUCACCCCAGCUAAGGACUGAAACGUCCCUGCCGUAGGCUGCGGCCCCAGACAAGCUGGGCGAGGUCCCUGCAUCCAACCAUCCCGAUUCCUGAUGCUGGGUUACCUAAGCCUAAAGCAUUUUCAGUUUCCAUCUGUGCCUUUCAGGAACCUCCUGAUUUCUGAUUGCGAGUUGGACAGUGUGGUCCCCGGACCAGCAGCAUUGACAUCACCUGGGAGCUGGUGAGGAAUCCAGACUCUUAGGCCCUGCCGGGACCUGCUGAAUCGGAACCUGCAAUUUACCAAGACCUGUACACACAUUACAUGUGAGAAGCCCCCCCAGAGCUGUUCCACACUUGCUCCACUCCUCUCCCCAACAUUCAGACCCACCUCUGGCUCUCUCAUUUCCAGCAGACACCCUUCCUCUUACCCAGUGGAGAGGACUCAGGGAAUCUUGGCAGAACCCUGCUGGCACCAUCAGCGGCGUAUGCUCCUCCUCGUUUCUGUCUUUUCACCCGUUCUCUUCUCUCGGUCUUCCACUGUGGAGAUGGAUGUGGAACCUUUUUGCUUAGUCCUGUCUUCUGCCUUUCCUGAGAUUACCCCACCGAUCUCCUGUUUGUGUCUCAAUAUGUUCUUUUCUCUGCUCAGAUCUCCCCAUUCUUAAAAGAACUGUCCCCUCCUCCUCGCCUCCUUCUUCAAUUUCUGCCCCUCCUGUGUCUGAGACCGUUCACAGGAACGCUCUGCCAAGGAUGCCUGACUGGCCCCCAGCAAGCCACUCCUGGGGCCCUUGUGUGCUGGCUCCCUUCCAGCCCUGCCUUCCUGCUUCUGCUCUCAGACUCCGUGGUCUCUCUUGGGCUUCAGGGCCUGGGACCUCCUGGCAGCAGUGGGCUACCCCACCCCCCAACCCCACACACACGGGAAACCACCCUGGUGACCAGAUAUAUAUAUAUAUAUAUAUAUACACAUAUAUAUAUGCAUGUGUAUGUAUUUACACACACCUGGGAAAUAUAUAUAUCUGGUGUAUAUAUAUUUACACACACCUGGGAAACUGCCCUGAUGACCAGAGCACACUGUCUUUCUCCUCUGCCCUCUGAGCACCUCAAGCUGCUGUGCCUGGCGCUCUUCUUCUGUUCUCCCCUCACAGAAUUCACGUUCCUCCACAGUCUCAGAGAACAUCUUUGAGGAAAUGGUCUCCCCAUAUGGGACUCUCACUUCUGUCAGUCCUGAACAUCAGUGGGUGAGGACAGGGCUGGGCUUGGCCCUCAGAGAGGAGAGGAGCACCUGCCUCCGGGGAGGGUCCCUAUCCCAAGAGGCUCUGUCCCUAGGCUGGGAUGGGGCUUCUUGGUCUCCACAGGUUCACUCUCCACCAGCCAGCUCUUCUUCCUGACUCCCCUGUGUCUGUGCUGGGCACCUCCUCCUGCUGCCCACCAGGCUUGGAGUUUGGGAAUCAUCUCCAAUACUUUUCUCUCCCUGUCCUGCAGCUACCUGUUUGUUUGGUCUUAACGGGUCCCCCUUCCCUUUCCUCCCUACCCCAGUGCCCACAGAGAAUAUCUAACAGCAAAACGUACUUUUCCUCCACUGGACUCCACCCUGGCUUGGAGCAGAUAUGGAAUUCCCAGUUCUGCCCACAGCCUCCUCCCUUAGCUCCCGUCCCCAGCUGCUCACCCCCAAACACCCCCAUCCUCCUGCCACAGUUUUAAAAAGUGUUGCUUGGAUUGGGCCAUCGCCUGCUUAGAAACUUAAAUGUCUUUUGUGGCUUCUCAAAUAAACAUUUAGGCCCUUAGUUUGGGAACAUUCUA